rnacentral:lncRNA from 1 species
CGCGGGACGGCAAAACCAUCCAAUGGGAAGAGGCGAUUCGCGGAGAUUGGCACUGAAGAUGGGAAGGUAAAUGCUGUUGAGUGUUUGAAGACAAGUGAUUUUUGCCUUUGCUGGAGAGAAGAGAGGAUUAUCAUAUUUACAUCUUAACUU